UGUAACCACAUUAUAAUAACAGCACCUAUAAAUUUAGAUACAGGUGUAGCAGAGCUGAAUUAGCCAUUUCUGUCUUACAUCUGUUCAAAUUAUUUGUUAACACAAAUACCUGAUCAGUCAAUCACAUGGCAGAAACUCAAUGCAUUUAGGCAUGUAGACAUAGCCAAGACAACUUGCUGAAGUUCAAACCGAGCAUCUACAGGGAUUUUCACAUACAACCAUUUCUAGGGUUUAAGGAGAAUUGGUCCAAAAAAGAGAAAAUAUCCAAUGAGCAACAGUUGUGUGAUGAGAAAUGCCUUGCAGAAUGGGCAGACUGGUUCGAGAUGACAGAAAGGCAACAGUAACUCAAAUAACCACUUGUUACAACCAAGAAGUUGUGGAAUAAAGAACACACAGGUCUAUAGACAGCUGAAGGUGUGUCCACGAAGAACGAUAACUAGUCAGCAGCGAUUGGACGGGCGACCGUGGUGACUCGGAGACAAACAAGUUCCGCCGACUCAUUCCUCGUUCCUUGAGGUGAAGACAAGACGACAACAGGUUGUGUUUACGUCAUACAGAUGAGACGUUCCUUAUAUUUCACCUUCCAUGACAGCGCACGAUGAUGUGUCGGGUAUACACCAUAGACGCCAGUGUCAGAAGACGUGACGUAAAACCACCAUUACCUGGAGGAUGAGGAGGACCAGGAAGUAGGCAUUGGCCGCUCUCUUGAAUUGUUCAAACAGGUUCAUGGGCAAGAAGGGGGAAAUUCUCUAUAAAAAGGAAUGACACAUUGGUGAACCAGAACAUAAAUGAUUUAUGAACACCAGUGGAUGAAUUAUUGACAAGCACGGGUGAGCCCAGAGGGUAACACAUUGUUACAAUGAUCUAAUGAAACAUUCACACAGACAGCGAGAGAUACGGUUGCAUCAACAUAUUUGGAAGUGAUCAUGUGUGUAUAAUCGUACGUUUCACAGAGAUGGGCCAGGAGAUGGAGGAACACUCGACCGAAUUGAUCGCAAAAUAUUUAUGUGGACUAUCCUUUGCCAGCUUUGUCUAGUGGUGGACCAGGACUGUGGAGCUUUGCAUCGGUCAAGAACAGUUGCCGUCCAUAAGCAGAAGAAGUCUCACUUCUUCAAGACAAAAGGUAUGCACCAAAGCAGAUCCCAGUCUAUUGCCUAUGUCAACGACAGGAACUGCGGGUAUAUGGACCCUGGGUGUGCCAGCGGUAAACGUAGGCCUCCCGGACCAUUUGUGCCAAGUACGAAGAUUGCUGUGCGACUAAAAACAGGACAAGGGCACCGUUUCCCACAUUAAAGAUGGCGCUGUGACCCUCUAGAACCGCUGUGUGCAUGUAUUGAGGAGAGCGUCUGAGCUCCACAGCAACGGACAUCACAUGACUUAUCACAUGAACCAUCCAGCGGAACGUCACUUCCGGUCCUGCGGACGGACUGCGGAAGUACCGCUGCGUCCACGCCAAACAACAUAUGGAUUACGUAGCGUCCUCUGGCGAGUGACCUGUCCUCCCGCCCAUCUCAUCAUCAUUGCCCUUACACUGAGCACCUGAGAUGUAAUCACGGUAUGCACUGUAUUUAUGCAUCUACUGUAUACACUGACAAUCGAGCAUUAUGUCGGCUGCCAGUCACAUGUACAUGAUAACACUUUAUGCCUUGCACUGUAUUCUGUAACUGUACACUAUCUUUUUACGCAAUGUUUAUACUAAAUUUGUUAAUUGAUUAAUUGGUCCUGCGUGACCAUAAAAAGUCACAUGAUGAAAAUGCUUGAAAAUGAUGGUGU